CCGGCCCUGCUCCUGAAGCCCAGGAAUCUGACUACAGGAUAAGCUGUUAUGAGCAAGUCAAUUGGGAAAUAAACCUAAAAGUCAAGCUAAGCAGCAAAAUAUUGGAUCUGUUUGAAAACCAGCCCACUGUGGCAGUCUGUUUCUGCAAGAGGAGGCUGAUUGGAACUGACACCACUGGACCGACCUCACAGCCACAAAAGCUCCAGCUUCCAGGGAGUUUCCAUCCUCGUGGACUGAACUGUGUCAGCACCGGUGUCCCCCGGUCAGCGAGCACCAGCUUUUGUAGGGAAAACCCCUUCAAACAUAUUCCUUUGACACGUGCAAGGCUUUCCUCAGGUGUGAGAAGAAGUGUGGUACUUCCCUCAGCAGGUUCCUGCAGGAAGGUAAAAUACUGGAAUUAUUCAGACUGCUGAGUCAAGGCAGAACAGCACGAGGAGAAUGUCACGGAUCAGCACAGCAGUCCCAUGGAAGAACACCUACGUUUUUCUUGCCUAAUAAAUGUGAAGAUGUAAAAAAGCCC